rnacentral:rRNA from 1 species
UACGGGGGGGUGCGAGCGUUGUCCGGAAUCACUGGGCGUAAAGGGCGCGUAGGUGGCCUGAUAAGGGUGUGGUGAAAGUCCGGGGCUUAACCCCGGAUCUGCCGUGCCGACUGUUAGGCUAGAGUGCUGUAGGGGCAGGCGGAAUUCCGGGUGUAGCGGUGGAAUGCGUAGAGAUCCGGAGGAAGACCGGUGGCGAAGGCGGCCUGCUGGGCAGAUACUGACACUGAGGCGCGACAGCGUGGGGAGCAAACAGG